AUCUAUAACCAUACCACUCUGAACACUCUCCAUCUAAUCUGUUCUCAGAAGCUGAGCAGGGUGGAGCCUGGUUAGUACGUGGAUGGGAAAGGGCUGUGAGCAAUUGUAAUUGAUG
rnacentral:rRNA from 1 species